AUCUGGCUUAGUUAGGAGGCAGAGAUCAAAUGGUUUGAUCAAUCUAUGGUUGGUAAUUCACAAUCCAAGGCCUUCUUGAAAGGACAAUCUUGCGAAUCUCACCAUCAAUUGUUCUCCGAGCAGCCUGAGCUUC